rnacentral:rRNA from 1 species
CUACGUGCCAGCAGCCGCGGUAAUACGGAAGGUCCGGGCGUUAUCCGGAUUUAUUGGGUUUAAAGGGAGCGUAGGCUGGAGAUUAAGUGUGUUGUGAAAUGUAGACGCUCAACGUCUGAAUUGCAGCGCAUACUGGUUUCCUUGAGUACGCACAACGUUGGCGGAAUUCGUCGUGUAGCGGUGAAAUGCUUAGAUAUGACGAAGAACUCCGAUUGCGAAGGCAGCUGACGGGAGCGCAACUGACGCUUAAGCUCGAAGGUGCGGGUAUCAAACAGGAUUAGAUACCCUGGUAGUCCGCMCAGUAAACGAUGGAUGCCCGCUGUUGGUACCUGGUAUCAGCGGCUAAGCGAAAGCAUUAAGCAUCCCACCUGGGGAGUACGCCGGCAACGGUGAAACUCAAAGGAAUUGACGGGGGCCCGCACAAGCGGAGGAACAUGUGGUUUAAUUCGAUGAUACGCGAGGAACCUUACCCGGGCU